UUUCGCAAUGCCCGAAAGGGUGACGAAGCGACGCCGCGUGUGGGAAGAAGGCCUUCGGGUUGUAGACCACUGUCGGGAGUUAAGAAAGGUGUACGGGUAAAUAGUCCGUGCAUUUGACAAAAGCUCCGGAGGAAGCCACGGCUAACUCUGUGCCAGCAGCCGCGGUAAUACGGAGGUGGCAAGCGUUGUUCGGAAUUAUUGGGCGUAAAGAGCACGUAGGCGGCCCUGCAAGUCAGCUGUGAAAGCCUCCUGCUUAACGGGAGAAGUGCAGUUGAAACUACGGGGCUAGAGUGCGGAAGGGGAGAGUGGAACUUCUGGUGGAGCGGUGAAAUGCGUAGAUAUCAGAAGGAACACCGGCGGCGAAAGCGGCUCUCUGGUCCGUAACUGACGCUGAGGUGCGAAAGCCAGGGGAGCAAACGGGAUUAGAUACCCCGGUAGUCCUGGCCGUAAACGAUGGGCACUAAGUAGAGGGGUUUU
rnacentral:rRNA from 1 species